CCCAUGACCACAGUUGAGAUUAAGAGCCGGGGAAGUUAGGCAAUAGCCCAGUGUCACACAACUAGGAUAAAGGAGAAUCUGAAGUCUAACUCAAGAUUUUUAGAUGCUAAGGCCCACAUGGAGUGCACUGUCCCUAACUUUAUUACAAUAAGUCCCCUACAGACGAAUGAGUUCUGUUCCGAGAGCAUACUCAUAAGUCCAAUUUGUUCACAAAUCCAACAAAGUUAGCCUAAAUACUCAACUAACACAAUCAUCUAUACAGUACUAUACUAUAAUGGGUUUCUAAUACUUUUCACACAAAUAAUAUAUACAUAAAAAACAAACACAAAAAAUAAACAUUUUUAAUCUUAUAGUACAGUGUCUUGAAGAAUACAACAGUAGUACAACAGCUGGCAUACGGGGGCUGGCAUCAAGUGAAAAUUUACUGACUGGAGGAGUGAAUUCUUUCCCUUUUUUUCUCACUGAUCCAGGCUUCCUUGGUUUUCAGGUCAUCUCCUCUUUACACUUUCAGAAGCUCCUCAUCCUACAGGCACUUCCCAGAUCCUGUGGCCCACUGUCGAUACAUUCAGCACUGAGGCCUGCUGGAACAGAGGAAGAAAUGGAUAUUUUAAAGUCUUUCUGAGAACACAAAAUAAUUGUUAUCUACACCUUCCUGAGAAGUAUUAAGAAACACUGAGUAGCCAGAUCAAGGAAACUUGAAGCAGCAGUGAUUUGAGAUGAGAUAAGCUUCAAGGAGGAGAAGAGAGCAGUCUGAUUCCCUGGAUCAGGCUCUAGAAUAACCACAGGACUGACCCAGGAUGUGUCUGGAUUCCUUAGACUCACA
ensembl:lncRNA